UGAGGAAUAUUGGUCAAUGGGGGCAACCCUGAACCAGCCAAGUCGCGUGAAGGAUGAAGGUCUUAUGGAUUGUAAACUUCUUUUACACGGGAAUAAAGCGGGGGACGUGUCCCUCUUUGCAUGUACCGUGUGAAUAAGGAUCGGCUAACUCCGUGCCAGCAGCCGCGGUAAUACGGAGGAUCCGAGAGUUAUCCGGAUUUAUUGGGUUUAAAGGGUGCGUAGGCGGCGAUAUAAGUCAGUGGUGAAAUAUUUCGGCUUAACCGAGAGACUGCCGUUGAUACUGUGUUGCUAGAAUAUGGUUGCUGUGAGGGGAAUGUGUGGUGUAGCGGUGAAAUGCUUAGAUAUCACACAGAAUAUCGAUUGCGAAGGCAGCUCACAAAGCCAUUAUUGACGCUGAGGCACGAAAGUGUGGGGAUCAAACA
rnacentral:rRNA from 1 species